AUGUUCCAAACCGAGGCCCACAGAGCGAGGGAAACAAAGCCAAGCCGCACAGCUGUGGGCACGGAAAGUUUUGCUCCACCGACCGCACACUCCCACCUAGGGGUCGGGCUCGGGGCAACCGCAGCAGCGGGAGGCCGGGGUUGCCCGGGAGGGGGCGCCCAGCAGCUGGCGCGGCUGCUUCUGACGCUGGGGGUCCGCGGGGGCGAGCCCCGCACCGCCGCCCAGACUCCGCGGGGCAAAGAGCGACACCCGUCCAGCGGCUCCAGCUCGGCGCGCUGGGUCGGACUCGGGCAGCCUCUCCAGGAGCGGGUGCCUGGGGCUCCCCUUCAAAGGCUUUCGUUCGCAGGGUGGGCUUCGAGGAGCUCACCUGCCCCUCCCCCGCCCCGGGUGGGUCUAGCGGGCACCCCGCGCGCCGCAGUCCUGGCCUGGCGCCUCGGGGGGCAGGGGACACCGCGCACCCGCGCUCGCAAAGUUCGCCGCGCUGCACCCCGAAGCGGCGCCCGACCUCCGGAGCCCGCCCCCGGGGCGGCGCCCAGGACCCCGACUGGCGCCCAUCUCCCCAGAGCCCACUCCCGGCCCCGGCCCGCGCCUACCUUGAGCCAGCGCCCGCAGCAAGUGCAGCUGGAGCAGCAGCAGCGCCCACCGCCCGCGGCCCGGGCUGAACUUUGCCGCCUGCCGUCCGCCGCGCUGCCCUGCGCACUCCGCGUCCUCGCCGGCAAUGCCUGGCGCCGCGCGGGGUCCCGGGCGCUCGCGGUCGAGGCAGGGGCCCGGCAAGGACCCAGCGCACUCAGGGAGCGGCGGGCCGCCGGCGGUCACCGAGGGCCGGGCACCGCGGACCAUACCGAGGAGCUGCCACCCGGAGCGCCACGCCGCACCGGACGGCUGGGACGGCCCCGGGUGGACGCGGUGCCCGGCGCUGAGGGGCGGCGUCCCGGGUGCCCGCGUGAGGGGCGCGGCAGGGGUCGAGCGAGGCGGAGGAGAAGUCGUCAGCGGGGGCAGUUCUCGUCGCGACGCCCGGAGCCCUUCCGGGCGACCGCCGCGCUGUCACCCGGCGCUGAGGAGAAAGUGCGCCCGCCCGCGCGCCGGCUCUCGCCCUCCGCCGCGGCCGCCGCUCCCCAUUCACAGCCCGGCCGCACGCGCCGCCCCCGCUGA
rnacentral:lncRNA from 1 species